rnacentral:pre_miRNA from 1 species
UCUAAAACUCAAGAUAUGGGCUGAACACUAAACAGUGUCUGGGCUGCAGGACAGAUUCUGACUUCUCCGUUGUUGCUACAAUUUGAACUUGAAAACAGCCUUUUUGAAUCUUAGACUCCAAUGAAAGUUUUAGACUUAUGUCUUAGCUUUCCAUA